rfam:Bifidobacterium tsurumiense strain JCM 13495 Contig02, whole genome shotgun sequence.
CAGGUUCCGGUUCACGCCCACCACAGGGGUGUGGCGACCCGGGUCC